rnacentral:rRNA from 1 species
UACCAGCACCCCGAGUGGUCGGGACGAUUAUUGGGCCUAAAGCAUCCGUAGCCGGUUCUGCAAGUCCCCCGUUAAAUCCAGCUGCUCAACAGAUGGGCCGCGGAGGAUACUACAGAGCUAGGAGGCAGGAGAGGCAAGCGGUACUCAGUGGGUAGGGGUAAAAUCCGUCGAUCCAUUGAAGACCACCAGUGGCGAAGGCGGCUUGCCAGAACGCGCUCGACGGUGAGGGAUGAAAGCUGGGGGAGCAAACCGG